UACGGAGGAUGCGAGCGUUAUCCGGAUUUAUUGGGUUUAAAGGGUGCGUAGGCGGACGCUUAAGUCAGCGGUAAAAUUGCGGGGCUCAACCUCGUCGAGCCGUUGAAACUGGGUGCCUUGAGUGGGCGGGAAGUACGCGGAAUGCGUGGUGUAGCGGUGAAAUGCAUAGAUAUCACGCAGAACUCCGAUUGCGAAGGCAGCGUACCGGCGCCCAACUGACGCUGAAGCACGAAGGCGUGGGUAUCGAACAGG
rnacentral:rRNA from 1 species